GAGGAGAGAGUUCAAGAGUACGUGAAACUGCUCAGAGGUAAACGGGUGGGCCCUCGAAAUCCUGUGGCGGGGAGAUUCAGUCGGGAGAGCUCCCGGACGCGGCGCCCGGAAUAUGAAUAAGAAGGUUCCCGGAGAGGGGCCGUUCCGGUGCCGCGCUUUCGGGUCGCCCGACGCAUUUGUUCCCCGCCCGAAGGACGCCGCAACCGGUUGGGACGCGGCCUUAAGGAUGGGAGACGGCAGGUGGCCGGUGGCACUUCCAAGUACCGCCGGUUGUUAGCCUUCCCGUCGCACGGCACGCGACCCGACCGUGGUAUCACGAGGCCCUUGUGGGCUUCUCCGCCUCCUCCCGAGAUUUUUGGGUGGCGGGAUAGCUCGGCAGGAGCGCGACGCGAUGCGGGCGCACGGACUGACUCCGUGGCCCAGUGUCGUGGUCGUCUUCGUUGGCCGGGUGUUUCCCGUCGGAGGUUGGUGGUUGGCGGCGAGUAGAUCGGUCACCCACCCGACCCGUCUUGAAACACGGACCAAGGAGUCUAACAUGUGUGCGAGUCAAUGGGACUCGAAUAAGCCCAGAGGCGCAAUGAAAGCAAAGGCUCGGAUUCACUCCGGCCGAGUUGGGAUCCCUGCCCCUCUGCGGUUGGGGCGCACCACCGACCCGUCUUGUUCCACUCGUGGAUUGGGCGGAGUCUGAGCAUACACGUUGGGACCCGAAAGAUGGUGAACUAUGCCCGGACAGGACGAGGCCAGAGGAAACUCUGGUGGAGGU
rnacentral:rRNA from 1 species